GACGAACGCUGGCGGCGUGCUUAACACAUGCAAGUCGAACGGAAAGGCCCUGCUUUUGUGGGGUGCUCGAGUGGCGAACGGGUGAGUAACACGUGAGUAACCUGCCCUUGACUUUGGGAUAACUUCAGGAAACUGGGGCUAAUACCGGAUAGGAGCUCCUGCUGCAUGGUGGGGGUUGGAAAGUUUCGGCGGUUGGGGAUGGACUCGCGGCUUAUCAGCUUGUUGGUGGGGCAGUGGCUUACCAAGGGUUUGACGGGUAGCCGGCCUGAGAGGGUGACCGGCCACAUUGGGACUGAGAUACGGCCCAGACUCCUACGGGGGGCAGCAGUGGGGAAUAUUGCACAAUGGGCGGAAGCCUGAUGCAGCAACGCCGCGGGCGGGAUGACGGCCUUCGGGUUGUAAACCGCUUUCGCCUGUGACGAAGCGUGAGUGACGGUAAUGGGUAAAGAAGCACCGGCUAACUACGUG
rnacentral:rRNA from 1 species